rnacentral:rRNA from 1 species
UACGUAGGGUCCGAGCGUUGUCCGGAAUUAUUGGGCGUAAAGAGCUCGUAGGCGGUUUGUCGCGUCUGCUGUGAAAUCCCGAGGCUCAACCUCGGGCCUGCAGUGGGUACGGGCAGACUAGAGUGCGGUAGGGGAGACUGGAAUUCCUGGUGUAGCGGUGGAAUGCGCAGAUAUCAGGAGGAACACCGGUGGCGAAGGCGGGUCUCUGGGCAGUAACUGACGUUGAGGAGCGAAAGCGUGGGGAGCGAACAGG